rnacentral:rRNA from 1 species
GGGACACGUGGUAUCCUGUCUGAAUAUGGGGGGACCAUCCUCCAAGGCUAAAUACUCCUGACUGACCGAUAGUGAACCAGUACCGUGAGGGAAAGGCGAAAAGAACCCCGGCGAGGGGAGUGAAAAAGAACCUGAAACCGUGUACGUACAAGCAGUGGGAGCACCUUCGGGUGUGACUGCGUACCUUUUGUAUAAUGGGUCAGCGACUUAUAUUCUGUAGCAAGGUUAACCGUAUAGGGGAGCCGCAGGGAAACCGAGUCUUAACUGGGCGUUAAGUUGCAGGGUAUAGACCCGAAACCCGGUGAUCUAGCCAUGGGCAGGUUGAAGGUUGGGUAACACUAACUGGAGGACCGAACCGACUAAUGUUGAAAAAUUAGCGGAUGACUUGUGGCUGGGGGUGAAAGGCCAAUCAAACCGGGAGAUAGCUGGUUCUCCCCGAAAGCUAUUUAGGUAGCGCCUCGUGAACUCAUCUUCGGGGGUAGAGCACUGUUUCGGCUAGGGGGUCAUCCCGACUUACCAACCCGAUGCAAACUACGAAUACCGAAGAAUGUUAUCACGGGAGACACACGGCGGGUGCUAACGUCCGUCGUGAAGAGGGAAACAACCCAGACCGCCAGCUAAGGUCCCAAAGUCAUGGUUAAGUGGGAAACGAUGUGGGAAGGCACAGACAGCCAGGAUGUUGGCUUAGAAGCAGCCAUCAUUUAAAGAAAGCGUAAUAGCUCACUGGUCGAGUCGGCCUGCGCGGAAGAUGUAACGGGGCUAAACCAUGCACCGAAGCUGCGGCAGCGACACUAUGUGUUGUUGGGUAGGGGAGCGUUCUGUAAGCCUGCGAAGGUGUGCUGUGAGGCAUGCUGGAGGUA